rnacentral:rRNA from 1 species
ACUGGCAGCCAGCUCUCUGCAACUCUCAUAUGGAUGGCCACUGUAGGGUUGCGCCCCGUUAGUACCUGGAUGGGAGACCACAUGGGAAAGUUAGGUUGCUGCCGGAA